CAGCGCAUAUUCUCGGUGACACGCAACUCUACGUUCGUGACUCUAAAUGUAUAGUAACAGUUAACUUUUUGAAAUUAUCACACCUUGGAACAAUGUUUCUGAUACUGGUGAUACUCCUGACGGUGAGAGAAACGAGUUCCACAGCCUUGAACUGCCUACCAGGCUAUUACUUUGAUGGCAAAGGGUGCACCAAAUGCACCCAAUGCCCUCUGGGUUACGGUUUAAAGAAUCAUUGCUCAGACACUGAGGAUACUCAAUGCCAGCCUUGCAUCGAAGGAUACGACUACUCAGAUACCAGUGGAUUAGACGAAUGCAUUCUGUAAGUUUUUCCCGGAA